AAUAAACAUAACAGGAGGUCUAGGAAAUGGUGAAAAGGAGUGCUUAAAAUAAGUUCAAUAUGGACAAGGACAACAAGGUCAGCAUCAAUAGGAUUUUGUCCCUGCUAGUGACAUGUUGCUGAUUAUCAUACCAUAAUACCUCUAUUAUUCACUAGCCAAACAACAUUGUUACAAAACGCCUUUUUUCCUCCCGCAAAUGCAAGCUUAAUCCAAUUAUGCAAUGACUAGUUGACUACAGUCUGUGGUGAUUUCUGGUUUAAAAAAUUUUUUGGAGCACAAUAACUUUUUGCUAACAUUAGCAUCCCUAUAAUCCUAUCAGAAGUUAAUAUUUGCAGGAUUCACAAGUAGACUGACGGCAUAAAUGUAUCACUAGAAUCCUUUCCUAAUGAAUUUGGCACCUUUAUGCUCCUAAAAGCAUAAAUUGUAGCAAAAAACCAUUUGAACAUUGGAUAAAUAGUAGGUUUCCAACUUAUUCUUUCCAAACUAUAUAGCUCAGAAACUAUCAUAAGAAAUAUAAUCUACAUUUGAUUCAAAGAUCUGAU
rnacentral:misc_RNA from 1 species